rnacentral:misc_RNA from 1 species
UAGAAUUAUAAGCGAGGGUUGUCGCUGGCCCCCUCGGGGGCAUGUGCACGCCCGAGCUCUUAAAUCCACAACACACCUGUGAACCCACCGUGGGCCCCUCGCGGGGCUUACCUUUAUAUACUCUGAAUGUCUCAUAGAAUGUCAAACUGUUGCCUUAAAAACGCAAUCGAAUA